ensembl:lncRNA
GGGAUGAGGGAUUUAUUCAGCAAGGAUGCAUUAAAUUGAUCAAAAGUCACGGUAAAUUAAUUUAUAAUUUUACAAAAGAUCACUAUUUUAAAUGAACGCUGUUCUUUUGAGCUUUCUAUUUGUUUAAGAACCCUGAAAAAAGUAUAGUUUCCACUCAAAUAUUAAGCAACACAACUGUUUUCAACAUUGAUAAUAAAUAAAUAAAAAUAAGAAAUGUUUACUGAGCAGCAAAUCAGCAGAUUAGAAUGAUUUCUGAAGGAUCAUGUGACUGAAGUCUGAAACUUGCUAUUCAUCUAAAUGCACUUCUACAAUCAACAAAAACUUUAAGCCGCUUUAAGGUAAAAACAAAACGUCUGCCAGCUCAGCGUCUCUCUAAAAGUGUUCUCCAUUCAUUUGAUUUGUGCUCUGGUGACAUCUGUGAAGAGCCCACACACGCACGCUGGCCUUGCGCUAACAGAUUUGUCCUCCAUUAAGACAUAAAGAGUGUCUCUCUGUGUCUGACAGGGAUUCUCUCAGAGAGCACAGAGCUAGCUUGUGCCUGCAUACGGGUGCGCAGCAGAGCCCAGGGAGAGCUGGCGAAGUGCCUGCGCCUGCUGGAGAAAGUCCUGAGGGCCAGCAGGAACAGGACGCCGGGGUUAGGACUGUGUUUCAGCGUAUCGAAAGGUCAGUGGCAGAGUUAAACAGUCCCUCCAGUCCUCUGUCAUCAAUGCUUGAAGACCAGGAAAUCAGACAGCAUCAAACCAGAGGGGUAAUGAACACAAAAACAUCCUGCGCAGAUCCCAGACCAAAAAUAAACUCUAUUUCUGUGAAGAAGAAAAAAAAGAAGUAAUAUGACAGUGUUAAAUGGACAACCUUUGUAAGAUGUUCUUCUCCUCAUUAGAGAUGUCCAUUCCCUGCCCAGCCUGUGACUGUUUCAUCUCAGACGCAUCCAGAUGGCCAAACAGGAGCAGAACAUGAAAGCAACUCAUUAGCUUUCAGUGAUACGGCUUAAUCAAACCCGG